UUGCUGUUUUGAUCAUUGUGUUAGAAUUUUAAUUUAAAAGUUCUAACAUAGUGAUCUCUUCAGCUUGCUGUUAGCACCAAAAUGAUUACAAUCAGUCUUGGAAAUAUUUGAAAAUGAAAGAAUGCAGCAAGCAAAAAGAAAUUGAAACUGUCGGGUUUCUCAUUAUUUUUGGUACCUUUUUACCUUAUGUAAUCUAAAUAUUGAAGAAAGAAGCUGCUGCACAUCAGCCAAAUGGAAAGAAUGUAAGUUACGUUUGUUCCUCCAAAAAGAAAAAGUCGGUGCUAGUGACAGUUAAUCUGUAGAAUGCUUCUAUGGGGACAAAUGUAUGUGCCAACAGCUGCAACAAUCAUGAAAAUCUUUGUGGUAGAUUUUAAGCUCUCCUGUUUGAAAUGUAAAUGAAAGUUUGAUAAAUCAGAGAGCUCAAAGUGACUUUUCUAACCGGAACAAAGCUACCUCAAUAGUAUUGUUUAAUCCGCCAUUCGUCAUUUUAACCAGGUAAAAAGAAGAAACGUGAGGAGAAAAAAAAGAAAAAAUCAAAAGAUUUUGAUGAAAAGAAACCAAAACAUAAACGUCGAAGUACCAGUAAACACUCGGACUCUGAAGAAGACAGUAUCCCUAGUCUACUAGCAAACAAACCAGAACUCAGUAAAUUACUAGGCUUAUCAAGAUUACCAGAUUUAGAAGAACUGCAAAAGAAUUUGUCAGCAUAUUUGGAAACCUCAAAAUUGGAGAAAGAAGUUGCAGAAAAAGUAAAAAAGAAAUCCUCAGAAAAACGUUCGUCCAGCAACAGUAAACCAGUGAAAUCCAAGGCAGCAGUCUCACCCUCUCCAGAACCCAGAAGGGAUUACGAGCGAGAACAGCCAGAAAGUAGUUUUAAUGGAAAAUCUCGUAAGUAAAAUUUUUUUUUUGAAAUUUUGAAUGAACUGGUAAAAAAUAUUGGGUCAGCAGGUUUUCCCUUCCUGAGAAAAUUGACAGUUUUUCAUCCUCGAAACAUCAAACUUCAGACCUGAUUCAUUAUGCAUCUUGUGACUGCUUGACAGGAAUCCCAUUCCUAUCAUUAGUCUCAUUUCCUGUGUGUCAUUUUGUUCCUAUCUCUCAUUAAAAAUGGCGCUAGUGUCAGUCAGAGAUGAAUUUAA
rnacentral:lncRNA from 1 species